UGUAUCAUGAUGAAACUCAUGCGUGUCAACUGACUCUGGAAACCCCCUGCUGGGUUGGUGCUCUGGUGGGUGUUUUGCCCGCCCGAGUCGGCAGCCUGAGCAGGGAUCCGUGGGAAUGAUCUUUUGUCACUUCUGAAUACA